AAAUGAAUAGCUAAAAGAUUAUAGUUUAAAAUUUUUGCUUUUAAGGUGAGUAAAAAACUCUUCAUUUA
rnacentral:tRNA from 1 species